GAUCCUGGCUCAGAAUCAACGCUGGCGGCGUGCCUAACACAUGCAAGUCGAACGUGAAAGGGACUUCGGUCCUGAGUAAAGUGGCAAACGGGUGAGUAACGCGUGGGUGAUCUGCCUCUGAGUGGGGGAUAACCUUCCGAAAGGGGGGCUAAUACCGCAUGACAUCCUGUUCUUGGAUGAACGGUGAUCGAAGCUGGGGACCGCAAGGCCUGGCGCUUGGAGAGGAGCCCGCGUCCGAUUAGCUAGUUGGUGGGGUAACGGCCUACCAAGGCGACGAUCGGUAGCCGGCCUGAGAGGGCGGACGGCCACACUGGGACUGAGACACGGCCCAGACUCCUACGGGAGGCAGCAGUGGGGAAUUGUUCGCAAUGGGCGCAAGCCUGACGACGCAACGCCGCGUGGGGGAUGAAGGUCUUCGGAUUGUAAACCCCUGUUGGGUGGGACGAACAUCUUCGUGGUGAACAGCCACGGUGACUGACGGUACCACCUGAGGAAGCCCCGGCUAACUCUGUGCCAGCAGCCGCGGUAAUACAGAGGGGGCAAGCGUUGUUCGGAAUUACUGGGCGUAAAGGGCGCGUAGGCGGCCUGUUAAGUCGGACGUGAAAUCCCUCGGCUCAACCGGGGAACUGCGUCCGAUACUGGCGGGCUUGAAUUCGGGAGAGGGAUGUGGAAUUCCAGGUGUAGCGGUGA
rnacentral:rRNA from 1 species